GAAUAUUGGACAAUGGGCGAAAGCCUGAUCCAGCCAUGCCGCGUGUGUGAAGAAGGUCUUCGGAUUGUAAAGCACUUUAAGUUGGGAGGAAGGGCAGUAAGCGAAUACCUUGCUGUUUUGACGAUCACGACAGAACAAGCCCCGGCUAACUCUGUGCCACCAGCCGCAGUAAUAAAGAGGGUGCAAGCGUUAAUCGGAAUUACUGGGCGUAAAGCGCGCGUAGGUGGUUCGUUAAGUUGGAUGUGGAAUCCCCGGGCUCAACCUGGGAACUGCAUCCAAAACCGGCGAGCUAGAGUAGGGCAGAGGGUGGUGGAAUUUCCUGCGUAGCGGUGAAAUGCGUAGAUAUAGGAAGGAACACCAGUGGCGAAGGCGACCACCUGGGCUCAUACUGACACUGAGGUGCGAAAGCGUGGGGAGCAAACA
rnacentral:rRNA from 1 species